CCUACGGGAGGCAGCAGUGGGGAAUAUUGCACAAUGGGGGAAACCCUGAUGCAGCGACGCCGCGUGAGUGAAGAAGUAUUUCGGUAUGUACAGCUCUAUCAGCAGGGAAGAAGAUGACGGUACCUGAUCAAGAAGCCCCUGCUAACUACGUGCCAGCAGCCGCGGUAAUACGUAGGGGGCAAGCGUUAUCCGGAUUUACUGGGUGUAAAGGGAGCGUAGACGGCAGGACAAGUCUGGAGUGAAAUGCCGGGGCUGAACCCCGGAACUGCUUUGGAAACUGUGCAGCUAGAGUGCAGGAGAGGUAGGUGGAAUUCCUAGUGUAGCGGUGAAAUGCGUAGAUAUUAGGAGGAACACCAGUGGCGAAGGCGGCUUACUGGACUGUAACUGACGUUGAGGCUCGAAAGCGUGGGGAGCAAACAGGAUUAGAUACCCGGGUAGUC
rnacentral:rRNA from 1 species